rnacentral:rRNA from 1 species
AGCGUAGACGGCACGGCAAGCCAGAUGUGAAAGCCCGGGGCUCAACCCCGGGACUGCAUUUGGAACUGCUGAGCUAGAGUGUCGGAGAGGCAAGUGGAAUUCCUAGUGUAGCGGUGAAAUGCGUAGAUAUUAGGAGGAACACCAGUGGCGAAGGCGGCUUGCUGGACGAUGACUGACGUUGAGGCUGAAAGCUGGGGGAGCAAACA